UACGAAGGGUGCAAGCGUUACUCGGAAUUACUGGGCGUAAAGCGUGCGUAGGUGGUUUGUUAAGUCUGCUGUGAAAUCCCCGGGCUCAACCUGGGAACUGCGUCCGAGACUGGCAGGCUCGAAUCCGGGAGAGGGAUGUGGAAUUCCAGGUGUAGCGGUGAAAUGCGUAGAUAUCUGGAGGAACACCGGUGGCGAAGGCGGCAUCCCGGACCGGUAUUGACGCUGAGGCGCGAAAGCCAGGGGAGCAAACGGG
rnacentral:rRNA from 1 species